rnacentral:rRNA from 1 species
CCUACGGGUGGCUGCAGUGGGGAAUAUUGGACAAUGGGCGAAAGCCUGAUCCAGCCAUGCCGCGUGUGUGAAGAAGGCCUUCGGGUUGUAAAGCACUUUCAGUGGGGAAGAAAGCCUUGGGGCUAAUACCCUCGAGGAAGGACAUCACCCACAGAAGAAGCACCGGCUAACUCCGUGCCAGCAGCCGCGGUAAUACGGAGGGUGCGAGCGUAAUCGGAAUUACUGGGCGUAAAGCGCGCGUAGGCGGUCUGAUAAGCCGGUUGUGAAAGCCCCGGGCUCAACCUGGGAACGGCAUCCGGAACUGUCAGGCUAGAGUGCAGGAGAGGAAGGUAGAAUUCCCGGUGUAGCGGUGAAAUGCGUAGAGAUCGGGAGGAAUACCAGUGGCGAAGGCGGCCUUCUGGACUGACACUGACGCUGAGGUGCGAAAGCGUGGGUAGCAAACAGGAUUAGAUACCCCAGUAGUC